rnacentral:rRNA from 1 species
UACGUAGGGGGCAAGCGUUGUCCGGAUUUAUUGGGCGUAAAGAGCGUGUAGGCGGCCAGGUAGGUCCGUUGUGAAAACUCGAGGCUCAACCUCGAGCUGUCGAUGGAAACCAUCUGGCUAGAGUCCGGAAGAGGAGAGUGGAAUUCCCGGUGUAGCGGUGAAAUGCGCAGAUAUCAGGAGGAACACCGGUGGCGAAGGCGCCACUCUGGGCCGAAACUGACGCUGAGGAGCGAAAGCGUGGGUAGCAAACAGG